rnacentral:tmRNA from 1 species
GGGGACGACAUGGCUUCGACGUGGAUUACAAAGCUUUAGGUGCAUGCAGAGGCACAGCAUACCUCUUAAAUCCAACUGUAAAACUUUUAGUUGCCAACGACGACAACUACGCUCUAGCUGCUUAAUACCCAGCCUUAGAGCCUUCUGCCCGGACAGUGCUUGUACUGCUGGAAAUCAGGAGUCAUCCUAACAAGCUCGUGAUGAAGCUGAUUUCGGGGUGGAUUCAUUAAAAAUUACUGAGAUCGUCUUUCGCAUUCCCUGUCUGUUGGGUAGCGGAUUGAUUAAAUCUAAAGACAGAAUAAGCAUGUAGAUCCAGAAGUGGAGAAUUUGCGGACGCGGGUUCGAUUCCCGCCGUCUCCACCA